rnacentral:misc_RNA from 1 species
CUCUACCGGACUUGUUCGCAUCAAUAGACGUCUAUAUCAAAUUUACUUUUCAAAUGAUUUUCAAUUUAGUGCUGUUGGGUUUUAUGGUAAACCAAAGUGGCGCUUUUCCUGUCCCUCUUGACAAAUUCCCCGAAUCCGAAGCCCAGUAUUAUCUAGCGAGUUUCGGCUAUCUGGAUCCGGAAUUAAAGAAUUCAUCCACCUCGUCUGUUUCCGCUGGUACUGUGCGAAAUGCCGUAAGUGAAUUCCAGUCCUUUUUCGGCUUGGAUCCAACAGGUAUUGUGAACGAGGAAACAUUGACGUGGAUGAGGAAACCGCGUUGCGGUCUUCCGGAUCGUGAUAUAACAAAAGGUUCUUCUACUCGCCGGAAGCGCAGGAUUGAUGUUAAAGACCGUUGGACUAAAGGUGAAUUAACUUACGGUAUUCGCAAACACACGCCGGAUCUUGACAAAUCCGUCGUGGAUCGAGAAAUCGCCAAAGCAUUUCGGCUAUGGGAAGAAGUAAUUCCAUUGACCUUCACUUUUGUUGAGACGGGAAACGUUGACAUCGAUAUUAGUUUUGAGUCCGGAAGUCAUUCCGACAGUAAAGAUGAUACUCCGUUUAAAGGGCCGGGUGAAGUUUUGGCUCACGCGUUCUUUCCCCAAUCGGGUGGUGACGUACAUUUCGACGAAGCCGAAACAUGGACCAUUAGCAGUGAUGGUACGAAUCUGUUCCAGUUGGCUACUCACGAAUUUGGUCACGCACUUGGUCUGGCCCAUUUUGAAUCCAAAACGGAUGUGAUGUUCCCAACAUUCGAAUACCGCCCUGAUUUCAAAUUGGAACCCAAUGACAUCAACAGAAUCCAGCAACUCUAUGGCAUCAACAACAAAUGGCUAAAAUAUAAACUCAGCGAAAUUGCAGAUGACGCGAAGAAUUUGAAAAAUGAAUUGAAAGAAACGAAAAAGGAAUUGAACGAUGCAAAGAAUACCAUCGCGGAAUUGGAAACCAACGGUCACACCAAGGUUAAAUCAACGGCCUUCUAUUUUUACGUGCAAAGGAACAGUGCGUUCAACGUAGCUAAUGUUGCGAUUCCGUUCGAUGUCGCUCGAGUCAACAAUGGAAAUGCCAUGGAUUUGUCAUUGGGAAUAUUCUUGGCACCGAGAUCGGGCAUUUACUUCUUCUCCUUCACGGGAUUGGCCAGUUUCCCAGAGACCAAAUCUCCAAAUAAGGUGCAGUUAGGGAUAGGACUUUAUUUAAGAGGCCAGCGUGUCGGAAGUGCCCUAACGGAAGAGUCCAACACGGUCGACAAACAAAAGUGUCCGCUGAGUCUCCAGUCGACGCUGAAAUUAGAGAAGCAUGACAACCUUUGGUUGCAGAUCGAUGUCCAAUCGACAUCGGAGGUGUCUCUAUUUGACGACGCAGGUCCGGGACGAGAUGACCACUGGACUCAUUUUACUGGAUGGAUGUUACAAGAGGAAAUUCUUGAGUCACUCUAAAUUCUUGAGACACUCUAAAUGUUCCGCGCUCUCUUGGCUCUAGAAUAUGUGCUAUAAAGAUUAAUAACACUUUUUUCCCCUGGAUUGUUUUAACGAAAACAGCUAGAAUCCAUUCGUUCUGAUGCCCAUGUACAAAGUCAAAAUACGUAGGCGAAUCCAAGCUGAAGAAUAUUUACUUGAUACCAACUGUUGGCUAAUUGUUGAUAUUCAAUUGUAAACACCGUGCUUGUCUUGACUUUGCUAUCUGAAGGCUUCCGUUAGCCUUCGUUUGCAUGUAAAACCUACUGUGUUGAAUUAAUCACUAUGUCACACCGCAAAUGGCCUUUUUUGCUUUUAUCACCUUCUUUAUAAAGUCACGCUGGCUUGAUCUCGACAAAACGUCCUUGAGAAUGACAAAUGCUUUCCCAAGUAAAAAACGACUUUUGUAAGGUUUCUUCCUUUUUCGUUGCUAUCUGGCAAGUAGCAACUCGGCAACUGAACAUAACUUGCGGGUACGGGAAGGCUUAUGGAAAUUCCCAAUGUGCGGUUAUAAAUCAGAGGUCGUUCGCUUUGCCAAGUAUGCAGGGCCACUGUGGUGUUAGGUGUUGUGAUAAUCCUAAGUGGCGCUUCUCCUGUCUCUCCCGACAAAGAAGCCCUGAGUUUUCUAGCGAGUUUUGGCUACCUAGAACCGAGACUAAAGAAUUCAUCCAC